UACGGGGGGAGCAAGCGUUGUUCGGAUUUACUGGGCGUAAAGGGCGCGUAGGCGGCACCGCAAGUCGACUGUGAAAUCUCCGGGCUUAACUCGGAAAGGUCAGCCGAUACUGCGGGGCUAGAGUGCAGAAGGGGCAACUGGAAUUUACGGUGUAGCAGUGAAAUGCGUAGAGAUCGUAAGGAAGACCAGUGGCGAAGGCGGGUCUCUGGACAGUUCCUGACACUGAGGCACGAAGGCCAGGGGAGCAAACGGG
rnacentral:rRNA from 1 species